AUUAUAUAGACACGUAUGAGGUUAUAAGUAAAUGGAUUAGGGGAAAACGGGGUAGUGAGUCACGUGUACGCGGCCCUUUGUAUGUAUUUCAUACAAGUAUACCUAUAAAAAUACGAUCUACAUGUGUGUAUGUCAACACUUUGUAAAAAUGGGGAAAAAACCAAAAAAAAAACAAAAAAAGCGAAGUUUUUCAAAUUCCAUCAAUUACACGACCCAUCAUCCGCAACGAUUCGUCUGUAUGCUUUUUACCUGUGCAACGCACGGCUCUUCUUUUCUUUCCUUUUUUUUUUCGUCUUCUAUUUUGCGUCGUUUCGGAAGAAACGUCGCGAAAUUGCAGAGUGCUACGUGAUCGAUUGUGAGUAAAAGUGUUGCAUGUGCAUCGAGAAAAUGCAGACGGAGGGAGUGAGUGUUGAACGACCCCCUAAUAUUAUCUCUGCAUAGAAAGACGAAAUGUGAAAAGCACGCGCAAAACAGGAAAAAAAAAAAAAUUCAAAAGAAAGAAGAAAGACCAAAAAUGUAGAGAUGAGAUUAAGUCGAAAGUAUUUAAGAUCGUUCGUUUGGGCUUUUUAAGCGUCUACUAAACGGGCGCAUAACACAAAAAUAUAUGUAUACGCAGUGAUGAGAAGAAGGCGAGAGAGGCGAGUAGAUGAAAAAUAAAUGUACGUAUUCGGUACAUCGAUGCGCGUACGUGUGCACACGAAUUGAAUGAUAAAAAAAAAAAAAAAAACAAACAAACAAAAAAACUAAAAAACAAAAUAAUAACAAUAAUAAUAAAAAGGGAAAAGAGGAAGGAGUGGAGAGUGUAUAUUAUGGUGGAUAUAAAAGAGCGCAGUAAACUGACUGCACAAAGAACAAACUUCAAGGCCAUUUAGAAGCCAUGCAACUCAACUCACAAUUCGAGUCGACUCGACUCGACUAAAUACGUCAUCAGAUUACAAACGUAUUAUCAUCAUUAUCAUCGCGAUAUAUACUACUUCAAUGUAAAAUACAUUACACACCGCAGUCGAUACAUACUGUGCCAAAUUUGUAUAUUUUCCAUGUAUACGUCGUAUACGUAUGUAACUGCAGAUGUCGAAAAUUUUGAAAAACGCGAAUGCGAGUCGCAUCAAUGACGUAACGAUAAAAAGGAGAGAAAAAUUCAAUGCGGUUUACAUGAAGAGUGCGUGUAAUGCGUACAUGUGCGUAUGUAUGUAUUCACCUUAAUUCGAGUCAUUAAAUAAUUAAACUAUUAGGUGCUGCACGGGAGACUUUUACGUUGCGUUAGAUACGCCUGUGUACGUAUGUACUGUACAUGGAAAAGUUGCAAGUGGUUUGGUGCUCGGUAUGCGUGAAGAAAUAUUUUCUACGGUGGAUCGUUUGUAUACGCACGUGAUUUAGAUCUUUUGUACAUAUAACACAUAUGUAGGCAAAUUGCGUGACAUAUAAAUAUUAUAUACAUACAUACAAUACGAUAUGUGAUUAAACGGAACGCGAUGAUUAAAUAUAAAAGCGUGCGAGACUCGCGCGUUUCGUAUUUCCUGUUUCUAUAUAAUAAUAUCAUUAUCACAGUUGUGUGUAUAUACAUAAAAAUAUUUACAUACAUACACGUACUAAUGUGUACACAUUUAUCUGAGCACACACGCACACAAUCGUAUUUAUUCAUUUUCAUUAAAUUUAAUUUAUUUGUUCGACGGAACUGAGUUACCUGAAUUUACGUUGGUAGAAAUUUGAAGAAAAAAGGAAAAAAAAAAAAAACAAAUUGAUUCGUGUAAUUGUAAUAUUACGAAAUUACUCAUCCGAAUUUCCCGCGCAUACGUAAGGGCGAUGAAAAGACGCGAAUGAAAAUCGGAGAGAAGAGAGAACAGAGGAAAUGAAACGUGAGAGAAGGAGGUGCGGCACUUGUGCAAAUUUCACACUACAUCAUAUACAUAUAUAUAUAUAUAUAAAUGUAAACGUAAGUGAUUUUCUACAUUAUGUGCACAAUGUAAUGAAAGAAAAAAAAAAAAGAGACAACAAAAAAAGCAAAGAAGAGAAAAAAAACUCGGUUCGAUUCUACUGCAGUGUAUGUCGCGUUGUGGCACAGCUGUUUCUAUAAAUACAAAUCAUCGCGUAUCCGUGUGCACGUGUCUCGCACACGCGUAUUAAAUUAUAUAUCUGUAGUGAGUUUUGCGGUGACGAUGAACUAACUUUACUAUACUGCGUGUAACGUCCUACAAUCCACGACGACGACGACGACGACGACGACGACGACGACGACGACGAUGAUGAUAACGAUGAUGCACCGCAAACGGAAGCGCGGAAAACCUUAAAACCUGCGCAUUUCAAAAAUCGCCAACGAUUGCGAGCGUAUCAUACGCUACGCGUGUGGUACGCGCAUACACGCUUGAGAAAAACGAUGAUGAUAGGGGAAAAAAAAAAAAAAAAAAAAAAAACAAUAAGAAAUCACACUUUACGUGUAACACACAUGUAACAUAAUAUAACAAUUACGCUUUGCUGCUGCUGCUGCUGCUGCGGCUGCUGCUGCACCGUGGCGCGUAACAUAAAUCGCGCGGGAAAAUAUGUACAGAGUGUGCGACAGAGGUCGUACGUAUGAUCGAAGGGAUAUUUUUUUAUCUCUCGAAAUUGUCCAUUUUUUUCCCCUUUUUCUUCCCAACACGCAAACGCUCGCGGUAAUCUUCAUCCGUUUUUGCAACAUCUUAUGCGUCUUUUUUUUUUUCCUCUUCUUUUCUUUUUUUUUCCCACAAAUGUGUUUCGUGUACGUAGACGCAACGUGGGUCCGUAUGCGUGUACGUAUUAUUACGCGUCAUUGCAUUUCGCGGAGUAAGAGGUCAGUGACCUUUGAAGGUCGCGGUACAAGGUAUAUUAAGGUUCGUUCGUUCUUCAUCAGAUACAGUAGAAGCAGAGCUUAACACAAUCCCUCUCUUUCUUGUCCUACCAACAGACGACGACCAACUUUCAUUUUUUCAUUCUCUCUCUCUCUCUCUCUCUCUCUUAGUCCCUCCCUCCGAUUUUGUAGUACUUUUUAUUUUUUAUUUUCGUUGCUUUGGAGAAACGAAAAAAGAAAGAAAAAGAGAUAAAAAGAGAAAGGGAGGGAAGUUAAGAGAGACGGAGAGAGAGAGAGAGAGAGACCAGAGCGAGGGUCAUGGUCGGACAACGUCUGCUGCCGCUGCAAAGCGGUUCAUACGACCGACGACGGUUCUCCAGUUUCGGCUGUAAUACGCCCACAUUUAAUAUACAAAUCCCGUCAAUACCCCUUUACCGGAUCUCAAUUUUUUUCUCUCGAAUCUUUCGAUUUUAUUUUGUUUUUCCACAUUUCUUUUCCACGUUCACUUAUCGUCAGAGUCAUCGGACGUGAUGCGCGAGGCGAAAAAAUUGAAACGGUGGUAAUCGCAGCUAAUUAAUUAUUAUCGUUCAAGUUUAAUUGCACCGUACUUUUAAUCUUAUCUCACUCAGUCUUCUCGUAGAUAUAAUAUAUUCGAUGGGUGCAGGUAUGUAGUUUGGUAUCUACGAUGAUCGUAUCGGAUCUAAGUGUCAUAUGAAAAUUUUUUCACAGGUGAUUCAGAUUCGAUAGAUUGCGCGAUCUUGUCCAAUUUCUUCCUACGUUUUGUACCGACGUGUACGACGACCACGUGGGGGUCCGCUUAACGGUUUCUUUUCCAAAAAAAUGACGCAAUAAUGACUUGAAAAUUCGUUAUUUACAAAUAAUUCCCCGAAGGAUACCGUAAACGUCCAAGAGGAGACCCUGAAGGCGUCUUUCUUGCGCCUCCGCUUCGUCUUCGGUAGGAAGAGCGAAAGCUUCUUCAACGAUCUUCUCUUCGGUCUAGCGUAGGGUGGAUCUUCGAACGGUGAUUUGUCCAUAGAUGCAAAUAAGCUUUCUUCGCAGGAUUUUCGCGCGCAAAAUCUGUGGAGUCAAAAAAUAAAUUUUUUCUCUC